ACGCUCGGAAACGGACGCUAAUACCGCAUACGUCCUACGGGAGAAAGCAGGGGACCUUCGGGCCUUGCGCUAUCAGAUGAGCCUAGGUCGGAUUAGCUAGUUGGUGAGGUAAUGGCUCACCAAGGCGACGAUCCGUAACUGGUCUGAGAGGAUGAUCAGUCACACUGGAACUGAGACACGGUCCAGACUCCUACGGGAGGCAGCAGUGGGGAAUAUUGGACAAUGGGCGAAAGCCUGAUCCAGCCAUGCCGCGUGUGUGAAGAAGGUCUUCGGAUUGUAAAGCACUUUAAGUUGGGAGGAAGGGCAGUAAACUAAUACUUUGCUGCCUUGACGUUACUGACAGAAU
rnacentral:rRNA from 1 species